rnacentral:rRNA from 1 species
GUGUGUUCCAGGUAAAUCCGGUUCACUUUAACACUGAGGCGUGACGACGAGGCACUACGGUGCUGAAGCAACAAAUGCCCUGCUUCCAGGAAAAGCCUCUAAGCAUCAGGUAACAUCAAAUCGUACCCCAAACCGACACAGGUGGUCAGGUAGAGAAUACCAAGGCGCUUGAGAGAACUCGGGUGAAGGAACUAGGCAAAAUGGUGCCGUAACUUCGGGAGAAGGCACGCUGACACGUAGGUGAAGUGAUUUACUCAUGGAGCUGAAGUCAGUCGAAGAUACCAGCUGGCUGCAACUGUUUAUUAAAAACACAGCACUGUGCAAACACGAAAGUGGACGUAUACGGUGUGACGCCUGCCCGGUGCCGGAAGGUUAAUUGAUGGGGUCAGCGCAAGCGAAGCUCCUGAUCGAAGCCCCGGUAAACGGCGGCCGUAACUAUAACGGUCCUAAGGUAGCGAAAUUCCUUGUCGGGUAAGUUCCGACCUGCACGAAUGGCGUAAUGAUGGCCAGGCUGUCUCCACCCGAGACUCAGUGAAAUUGAACUCGCUGUGAAGAUGCAGUGUACCCGCGGCAAGACGGAAAGACCCCGUGAACCUUUACUAUAGCUUGACACUGAACAUUGAGCCUUGAUGUGUAGGAUAGGUGGGAGGCUUUGAAGUGUGGACGCCAGUCUGCAUGGAGCCGACCUUGAAAUACCACCCUUUAAUGUUUGAUGUUCUAACGUGGACCCGUUACCCGGGUUGCGGACAGUGUCUGGUGGGUAGUUUGACUGGGGCGGUCUCCUCCUAAAGAGUAACGGAGGAGCACGAAGGUUGGCUAAUCCUGGUCGGACAUCAGGAGGUUAGUGCAAUGGCAUAAGCCAGCUUGACUGCGAGCGUGACGGCGCGAGCAGGUGCGAAAGCAGGUCAUAGUGAUCCGGUGGUUCUGAAUGGAAGGGCCAUCGCUCAACGGAUAAAAGGUACUCCGGGGAUAACAGGCUGAUACCGCCCAAGAGUUCAUAUCGACGGCGGUGUUUGGCACCUCGAUGUCGGCUCAUCACAUCCUGGGGCUGAAGUAGGUCCCAAGGGUAUGGCUGUUCGCCAUUUAAAGUGGUACGCGAGCUGGGUUUAGAACGUCGUGAGACAGUUCGGUCCCUAUCUGCCGUGGGCGCUGGAGAACUGAGGGGGGCUGCUCCUAGUACGAGAGGACCGGAGUGGACGCAUCACUGGUGUUCGGGUUGUCAUGCCAAUGGCACUGCCCGGUAGCUAAAUGCGGAAGAGAUAAGUGCUGAAAGCAUCUAAGCACGAAACUUGCCCCGAGAUGAGUUCUCCCUGAGACUUAAAGUCU